CUUUCCUUGAUGACGACUGGCGCACGGUGAGUAACGCGUAUCCAACCUUCCCAUAACUACGGGAUAACCCGUUGAAAGACGGCCUAAUACCGUAUGAUAUCGUUUGCUGACAUCAAAUAACGAUUAAAGGUUUAGCGGUUAUGGAUGGGGAUGCGUCUGAUUAGCUUGUUGGCGGGGUAACGGCCCACCAAGGCAACGAUCGGUAGGGGUUCUGAGAGGAAGGUCCCCCACAUUGGAACUGAGACACGGUCCAAACUCCUACGGGAGGCAGCAGC
rnacentral:rRNA from 1 species